rnacentral:rRNA from 3 species
UAUAGAAUGACUCUCGGCAACGGAUAUCUAGGCUCUUGCAUCGAUGAAGAACGUAGCGAAAUGCGAUACUUGGUGUGAAUUGCAGAAUCCCGUGAACCAUCGAGUCUUUGAACGCAAGUUGCGCCUGAAGCCAUUAGGUUGAGGGCACGUCUGCCUGGGUGUCACA